rnacentral:rRNA from 1 species
GAUGAACGCUGGCGGCGUGCCUAAUACAUGCAAGUCGAGCGAACAGACGAGGAGCUUGCUCCUCUGACGUUAGCGGCGGACGGGUGAGUAACACGUGGAUAACCUACCUAUAAGACUGGGAUAACUUCGGGAAACCGGAGCUAAUACCGGAUAAUAUAUUGAACCGCAUGGUUCAAUAGUGAAAGACGGUUUUGCUGUCACUUAUAGAUGUAUCCGCGCCGCAUUAGCUAGUUGGUAAGGUAACGGCUUACCAAGGCAACGAUGCGUAGCCGACCUGAGAGGGUGAUCGGCCACACUGGAACUGAGACACGGUCCAGACUCCUACCGGAGGCAGCAGUAGGGAAUCUUCCGCAAAGGGCGAAAGCCUGACGGAGCAACGCCGCGUGAGUGAUGAAGGUCUUCGGAUCGUAAAACUCUGUUAUUAGGGAAGAACAAAUGUGUAAGUAACUAUGCACGUCUUGACGGUACCUAAUCAGAAAGCCACGGCUAACUACGUG